AGAAGAGGUGGAGGGAGGGAGAACCUAAACCAGGGAUGUGCCGUGCCUGUGGCUCUGAGUGGAUGUUGGAGCCCUGGUGUGUCUUGUAUACCACUGAGACUG